UACGGGGGGGGGCGAGCGUUGUUCGGAAUUACUGGGCGUAAAGGGUGCGUAGGCGGCUUUCUAAGUCGGAUGUGAAAACUCUGGGCUCAACCCAGAGCCUGCAUCUGAAACUGGAGAGCUAGGGUUUUGGAGGGGAAAGCGGAAUUCCAGGGUGUAGCGGUGAAAUGCGUAGAUAUCUGGAGGAACACCGGUGGCGAAGGCG
rnacentral:rRNA from 1 species